AUACGUAGGGUGCAAGCGUUAAUCGGAAUUACUGGGCGUAAAGCGUGCGCAGGCGGUUUUGUAAGACAGUGGUGAAAUCCCCGGGCUCAACCUGGGAACUGCCAUUGUGACUGCAAGGCUGGGGGGCGGCAGAGGGGGGUGGAAUUCCGCGUGUAGCAGUGAAAUGCGUAGAUAUGCGGAGGAACACCGAUGGCGAAGGCAAGCCCCUGGGCCUGCACUGACGCUCAUGCACGAAAGCGUGGGGAGCAAACAGGAUUAGAUACCCUGGUAGUCCACGCCCUAAACGAUGUCAACUGGUUGUUGAGGAUUUAUUUUCUCAGUAACGAAGCUAACGCGUGAAGUUGACCGCCUGGGGAGUACGGCCGCAAGGUUAAAACUCAAAUGAAUUGACGGGG
rnacentral:rRNA from 1 species